AAGGGACCCGUUGCGCGUGGCCCGGUGUCACCCGGACUGCGCCGACCUCGCCAGCCGCCCCGCCCCCGUGUCUGCAGAGGCUAAAGAGCUCCCUGUCCUCCCAGGACCCGUCCCAGGAGGAGCCGGCGUGUGCUCAGAUCAGGGUCUCGACUGUCGGGGCGGAAAGGGUCUCUGAGUUUAAGUCCUGUAAAUCCAGCCCUGUACCCCGUCUCGUCACUUAACCUUUAGUCCCGAGGGCUUGCUCCUUUUUCUCGCUUCUCCCAAAUACAACUUCUAGAGUCUUCUGAGACCCGCACUGCAUUCGAUUCUAUCUUUGAGAGCAUUCUUAAGUUAGCGCCUUGAGGCAGUGCGGCUGGAGGUUCAGAGAGGAGGCUUGACACUUUUUUCCUCCACCUGCACCAGUUUGAAAUGGAAAACAAAGAAAUUAACCAGGGAAAGUUACUUGAGGAGAUUGAAAAGGAGCUGAAGACUUCAUGAAUUAGAUACUUAAGUGACACAGAUGAUAAAAAUCCGUUCGAGAAUUUAUAUGUGACAUCUGCAGCAGGUUCAGAUCUCUCAGCUAUAAGACAAACUGGAUACUUCGUAAAGAUUUUCAUCUGUUAUGCACAGAGAGCCAAAAUCCGUUACUGAAAUUGUCUGGGUGAGCUGCCUGCUGGGUCCAGUGAUGCACUAGUAGACAAAGAAGUUGAAAAAGAAGGCUGACUGGAUGACUGGCAGAAUGUGACACCAAUAUGGCAUCAAGAAGCCCUACUAUGAGUCCAAGGACUUUGACUAUGACUAAAUAAAAAUGACUUCUUUUUUGGUGGGGUGGGGGUGAGGGUGGUUGAAGUAAAUUUGAUAUUUACUUGGGGAAUGUGUAAUGUAUUCUCAUUCUAUAGUGAUAUAUGGUAAUUGCCUUGGUAAUUAAUCUUUAAAGUUCAUAUAUAUAUAUCGAAGUUAUAUAGUUAUACUUUUUAUUAUUGGGUUCUCUUACCACAAAGUAAAUACUGUAAAGACAAACAUUUGCUUAACUUAAAAAUGUUAACCUAAAAAGAUUGAUUUAAGGACUAUGAUUUUCACAUAGAAAUUUUCACUUAGGGCAUUUUAUUUAUAAAAAGUUACUGUACCCUGAACUUUCUAGGAAAACAUCCUUUUCUGUAGUUUCUUGAAAGUCAGUAGGAAAUCAUACUGUACAGUAUUAAUAUAGAACAGUUAAUAAAUUAACAACCAUUAAAAAUAACUAAUAACUUCAGAUCUAUUAACUAAAUUUACUUAAAAUAAUUUAAGGAGUGGGUGUGAACUGGAAAUAAACCUAUGUAUUUAUUAAAUUAUUGAAUCACAAGAAAACUAGAACAUCAAAGUAUUCUCUAAACCAAAUCAGUGUUUUAUUUGGUUAGAGUCCCUGCUUUUGGCAUCCAUCUAUUUAGAUCACUUAUAGAGGCUUUGAAAGCAGUUCUGGGAAAUGAGGUGGGUAGAUUUUCUCAAAGUUGAUUCCCAUUUAUUUUCUCAGUGAAUCUUGAACAUUUUUUUCUUCUUAGUAUUCAAGAAAAACUCUGUCAGUCCAGGAUAUAAAACAUAGGUUACAUUAUAUAUAGUUCAUACAGUUUAUUUACAAACAGAAUAAGAUUCCCUCUUGACUUACCUUGAAAUCUUUAUUCAAGGCCUGCACCAUUCAAUUUGUCAGCGUGCUGCUGCCACUACCGCUCGCUUUUGGUCAGAAUGCAGUGAAGCUAACAGCCAUUCUGCUGGGAAAAGAGUUCCCGGUUGCUGAAGAGUGGAAGUCACACACAUCUCAUUUACAAGUCAGAUCAGAGAUCAGAAUCAUACAAUAGCUUUAUGUGGAAUUGAUUUCAUUUCAUGGUUUUUAAGCUGUGUUUUUCAUUGAAGCAAUGUCUAUAACUAAAAGACAGGUGUGUUGUAGCAUUUGAAUGCCUUAAAUUCUUUUGAAUCUGGAAUAAAGGGAUGUUUAGGUCCUAAAACUCAGGGAUUUUUGAAAUGAAAUGCUCUGUCAUUCAUUGAUUGUGCCAUAAUUGAACUGCCCUGCAGUUUUUAUUUGGGAUUGUAAUUAAUAUUUGGAAAACUUUACCAUUUUCAAAUAUGUUAUUUUAGGAAA